rnacentral:rRNA from 1 species
UUCGGUUAAGUUAUGAAGGGCGCACGGUGGAUGCCUUGGCACUAGGAGCCGAUGAAGGAC